rnacentral:tRNA from 1 species
GGAGAGAUGGCUCAGUGGUUAAGAGCACUGACAGCUCUUCCAGAGGACCUGGGUUCAAUUCCCAGCACCC